UACGUAGGGUGCAGGCGUUAAUCGGAAUUACUGGGCGUAAAGCGUGCGCAGGCGGUUUGCUAAGACAGGUGUGAAAUCCCCGGGCUUAACCUGGGAACUGCGCUUGUAACUGGCAAGCUAGAGUGUGGCAGAGGGGGGUGGAAUUCCACGUGUAGCAGUGAAAUGCGCAGAGAUGUGGAGGAACACCGAUGGCGAAGGCAGCCCCCUGGGCUAACACUGACGCUCAUGCACGAAAGCGUGGGGAGCAAACAGG
rnacentral:rRNA from 1 species